GACUGUUUGCUUCCAAGCUUCUGAGAGCUGCUGGCGGGCUCUUGUCUGACGCUCGUGUUUCUUCUGGCCCUCCCCAUGGGCUCCUGGCUUCCCCUGGGACAGGAUGGCCAGCUGCCCCGGGGGAGGCGGGGGGCAGAUGGCUUCUGAGACAAAAGCCACCGUCGUUUCAGAAUCUAAUCUCAGAGGGAGGAGGCGCCGCCACUGCCUCCCUGUGCGCUGUUCCUGUGGACCUGUGACUCUGUGCCCCGUGGGAGGGAGCCACGGGGGAUUGGAGUUCCGGGAGGCCCCAUUGUUCUUACAGAUGAGGAAACGGAAAUGAAACAAGGACAGAGACCCCCACGCAGGAAAACACUGUUCGGCCUUGCAUGGAGGAAGGAGAAGCAGGCGAAGAAUAACAAUCCAUUUUCCCCAGCGAAGCUCUCUCUGCAGACGUUCUGAAGAACUGUGUUUCCUAGAGCGGCCAGCGUAGCUCCAUUGUUCACUACGCCAAAGAGCAGAAGCCACCAAGCAUCCAUUAGCAGAGGAAUGGGCUGAGGAGGAUGCGCUCUGUCCCCGUACUGCAGUAUUCUCCCGUCUUUAUAGAAAAGCAGAUUCUCACAGAGGCUGUAGUGUGGCUGAAACCUGAAGACGUUAUGCUGGGUGAAGUAAACCGGGCUCAAAAGGACAAGCACUGUCUAACCCACUUGCCUGAGAUCCCUGGAAUUAUAGUCAUGUUGGAGAGACAGAGAGCAGACGGCGGAUGGGUGGGCCAGGGGGUGAAGAUUGUGUAACAGUGUAAACACGCUUCAUAGCGGCUAAAGUGAUUAAAAUAGUAGAAAUGU